CUCCCUUCUGCCUGAAAUCAGCCUGCAAUCACUGGCUCCUAGGCCUUGAAAAGCACUCCAGACUGGGAACUCCUUGAGGGUGGUCUGUGCCUUGUUCACUUGGAUCCCUCGUGUGCUUGUUGCAUACCAGUGGUCACCCAGAAAGACUAUGGGGGCCUGAUCCAAGGCAGACAUGGUGGAAAGACGGAGGAAGUGAAGGUUAGAAGAGAUGUGUGGAAUGAGAAUCUACAGGAUUUGGUCUUAUGAUGCAAGAGGCAAAAACACAGAGAAACAAGUUAAGUACAACGGGGCUCUAUCAGGAAUAAGACCCUCCUUCUCUUCUACGCCUUCACCAUCAAAAUCUUUGGUUUCAGCCUGAGUCUUGGAGGAGGGAGCAGAAAGCAGAACAGGAACUAGGUGUUGAUUGAGAAAUUGAUGGACAUGCUUUAGUCUUAGUCACAUUUAAUUUUUCUCAAACUUGUUUAAUGGCAAGAUCUAUUUUCCCUUCAGAGACAUUCACCUUGUCCUUGAGACUUUUCCAUGGAUCCUGAGACUUUUCAGCCAGGGGGGAUCUUGGAGAUCGCUGAGUUACAAACCUUCCUCCAAUGAACAAGAAAACUGAGUCUAGACAGGAAAGCCUUCCCUUGGAGAAACUACUGGUAAUUUGGACAAAACCUUAAAAUGAGAAAGAAAAGAGAGAGAGAGCGAAGAGAACGCUUCAACAUGUAAUAUGCUUAUCCAAAGUGGAUUUGGUCUGGAGAGGCCUAUAAAACCUUCCACAUGACUGGCACAAUAUAGGGAUAAAUGAAACUCUCAAAUCCUACCAAGUAUGCCCUCAUUCAACCUGGAUCCUUGGAGUGGCC